UACGGGGGGGGCAAGCGUUGUUCGGAAUUACUGGGCGUAAAGGGCGCGUAGGCGGUUCGUUAAGUCGGAUGUGAAAACUCUGGGCUCAACCCAGAGCCUGCAUCCGAAACUGGCGGACUAGAGUGCGAGAGGGGGAAGCGGAAUUCCUGGUGUAGCGGUGAAAUGCGUAGAUAUCAGGAGGAACACCGGUGGCGAAGGCGGCUUCCUGGAUCGCUACUGACGCUGAGGCGCGAAAGCUAGGGGAGCAAACAGG
rnacentral:misc_RNA from 1 species